UGCAAGUCGAGCGGGCCUUUCGGGGUCAGCGGCGGACGGGUGAGUAACGCGUGGGAACGUGCCCUCUGGUUCGGAAUAACUCAGGGAAACUUGAGCUAAUACCGGAUACGCCCUUUUGGGGAAAGGCUUGCUGCCGGAGGAUCGGCCCGCGUCUGAUUAGCUAGUUGGUGAGGUAACGGCUCACCAAGGCGACGAUCAGUAGCUGGUCUGAGAGGAUGAUCAGCCACACUGGGACUGAGACACGGCCCAGACUCCUACGGGAGGCAGCAGUGGGGAAUAUUGGACAAUGGGCGCAAGCCUGAUCCAGCCAUGCCGCGUGAGUGAUGAAGGCCUUAGGGUUGUAAAGCUCUUUUAUCCGGGACGAUAAUGACGGUACCGGAGGAAUAAGCCCCGGCUAACUUCGUGCCAGCAGCCGCGGUAAUACGAAGGGGGCUAGCGUUGCUCGGAAUCACUGGGCGUAAAGGGCGCGUAGGCGGCGUUUUAAGUCGGGGGUGAAAGCCUGUGGCUCAACCACAGAAUGGCCUUCGAUACUGGGACGCUUGAGUAUGGUAGAGGUUGGUGGAACUGCGAGUGUAGAGGUGAAAUUCGUAGAUAUUCGCAAGAACACCGGUGGCGAAGGCGGCCAACUGGAC
rnacentral:rRNA from 1 species